ensembl:lncRNA
UGACACGGCAACGUCACGGCAACGACCCUGCCGGACCCCGGAGGCCUUCCUGGGCCCCUCGGCUGCCUCUCUGGUCAACCUGGACACACUCAUCCCCAGCAACCCGCCGGCCAACAGCAAAAACCCCUUCCUGUCAGGUCUCAGCGCUCCCUCCCCGACUAACCCCUUCCACUGUGACCAGCCUCGACUCACCCUCAACCAGCUCCGACCGAGCUCCACCUCCCCUCUCCCGCCUCGCGCCCACACCUCCUCCACCUCCUCCUCCUCCGCCACCUGCUCCAUGCCCUACAGCGCCUCCCUGCCCCUGCCUGUCCCCCGGCACGCUGCCGCCCCCUCCCUGCCCUCCUCCUUCACCCAGCCCCCCCAGGGGCUCCUGGAUCUGCCCUCUAACCUGCCCCAGCCUCUACUGCCCCUCUCCUCUGCCCCCCUGCAGCAGCAGCAGCACAACCACCACCACCACCUGCACCACCAGCACCACCAGCACCAGCACCCCCACCAUCAGCGCUUCUCCCCCCAGCCCAGCCACCCUCUUCAGCCCCAGAGCCACAGCCACAGCCACAACCCCUUCCUCUGAGCCCAGGGGAGCGAAAAUGGAUCAGGAUCCGGAUUGGAAGCUGGACCCGGGAUUAGAAUCUGAAUAGAAAUCUGAAUUUGGGAUUAGAAUCCGGAUUGGAAUCUGAAUUUUGGGGAUUAGAAUCUUCAUCUGAAUCAGAAUCUAGGUUUAAGGCCAAGAUUUCAGUCUGAGUUUUGAAUCUUGAUCUGGAGCUCCACCUGGAGGACAAAGAAUGAAGUUGUAGUAUGAAUGUGGAUCUAGAUCAGAAAUCUGGAUUAUCGUCGGCACCUGGGCAGAGUGCGUCUGCGUUUUUUCGGAACUGAAUACUGGUCUAGAUCUAAAUGUGAAUGUGGAUCUGGAUCUUUACUCUGGAUCAAGAUUCUGUUUUGAAUUUGGAUUUCGCAGGUGAGGUUGGGAUCUGGACGAAAGGGAUGAAUGUACCAUCAUUGAAUAUACAUAUAUACUUAAGUAUGUACUUAAUGUAUUUAAUGGACCAUCAUUGACUACAAGUAUAUACUUAAGUAUGUACUUAAUGUAUUUAAUGGACCAUCAUUGACUACAAGUAUAUACUUAAGUAUGUACUAUAUGUAGUUAAUGGACCAUCAUUGACUACAAGUAUAUACUUACGUAUGUCCUUAAUGUAGUUAAUGGACCAUCAUUAAGUACAAGUAUAAGACUAUGGAGGAUGACACAGAGGAGCCUGACCUACAGAGGCCUCGGACCCAAAUCCCAUUCCCCUCCGAGGAUGUGAACCUGAUUGUAUUUGUGUGUAAAUGGCCCGCAGCAGAUGAAGCUAUUUGAAUCUGGAUUCAGUAUAAACGCUUUGGCACGAAAACAGACUUCACCCUCAUUUGUUUUUUGAUGGCAUAAGAAUAUAUAUAUUUUAAAAAUGUAUCCUGUAGACCCUCAUUGGCUACAGUUUAAGAGAAAAGCAUGGUCACACACUCUUUUUCUUUCCCUCUAUCUCCCUCUCUCUCUCUCUCACUCUCUCUCUCUCUCUCUGUCUCUGUCUCACGCACACAUACACACACACACACACACAUAUGCACGCAUGCACAAACAUAAUGCCUCAAAACUCCACACUAAAAAGCACAGAGUUCAUCACACUCCCACACGCUAUGCCAUGGAACACUCCAGUGGUUCAUACACACACACACACACAAGUAUUCAACCACACUAUCCGUACACACACACACACACACACAUUAACACACACGCACACACAAACACACUCGCACACACUCGCACACACACACACACACACACACACACACACACACACACACACACACACACACACACACUCAUACUUACACAAACAGCUACUGUUAUUUAGGCUUUUUUAGCAUGCUGCUUUAAUAGGCCUCAUAGUGAAGGCCAUCAUGCUGCCACUCAAGUUAUCAAAAAUCUGUAUGGGAUGUCAAUCAAACGGAGCUGUCAAAUCAACACAUCCCAUCCCUUUGACAUCACUUAUGAUGUGGGCGGGACUUGAAUCUGGUCUGAGAACAAGCAGACUAUCAGGAAUAUAUAUAAAAAAAGACAAACUUCUGUUUUUACACAAAUGAAUGCUUUCCUCUCUUUCUCUCUUUCUCUCUUUCUUCUUUUCUCCUCUCCUCUCUUUCUUUCUUUCAUUUAUUUCCUCAUCCCUUUUUCU